GGGUUCCGACGGAUUCCGGAGCGAGGAUGCGGUUCGAGGCUUCCUAGCCGUAGGAUCAGGCCCGUCCCUUCGAUCCAACGGUGAAAAGGACCUUCGUUACCAUUUCAGCGCCUUCUUGUUGAUGCCUCUUUUCGCUCUCCCGCCACUAUCCCUAAACCCCUUCUCUCUCUCUCUCUCUCUCUCUCUCUCUCUCUCUCUCUCUCUGUGUUGAGGUGAUGUGUGCCCUUUUGUGUAAGUGAAGAAUUGAAGAUUUAGCUUCGAUUAUGUCGGAUUUUUUAUGGCUGAUUUAAUGUCAAUGAAAGUUGGUAGAAGG